rnacentral:rRNA from 1 species
UACCUUACAAGGAUAACUACGGAAAAGCUGUAGCUAAUACUUGCUUUAAUGCGUUUGAAUCCUUUUGGAUUCCCGCGUAUGUACUUGUUAAGCCUUUAAGAAAGAAGUUUAUAACUUAAGGAAUUAUAACAAAGAAGUAACACAUAAUAAGGUUGCCUUAUUUAGUGUGUAUCAAUCGAGUUUCUGACCUAUCAGCUUUUGAUGUUAGGGUAUUGGCCUAACAUGGCUAUGACGGGUAACGGGGAAUUAGAGUUCGAUUCCGGAGAGGGAGCCUGAGAAAUAGCUACCACAUCUAAGGAAGGCAGCAGGCGCGUAAAUUACCCAAUUCUAAAGAAGAGAGGUAGUGACAAGAAAUAACAAUACAAGGCCAUUUCAUGGUUUUGUAAUUGGAAUGAUGGGAAUUUAAAACCUUCCCAAAAUUCAAUUGGAGGGCAAGUCUGGUGCCAGCAGCCGCGGUAAUUCCAGCUCCAAUAGCGUAUAUUAAAAUUGUUGCAGUUAAAACGCUCGUAGUUGAAUUUCAAAGAAUCAAUAUUUUAAGUAAUACUUUUGCUAUAAGAUGCUUAGACAAUACAACGUAUCUGUUCUUUGCAUUCCUUAUGCAAAAUGUGUUCUUAUUAUAAAAAGGAUUCUUUUUAAAAUCUCUUUUGCUAUUUUUUAGUAUUGGAGAUUUUGUUACUUUGAGUAAAUUAGAGUGUUCAAAGCAAACAGUUAAAGCAUUUUACUGCGUUUGAAUACUACAGCAUGGAAUAACAAAAUUGAACAAGUCAGAAUUCUGUUCUUUUUUCUUAUUUUGGCUUAGUUACGAUUAAUAGGAGUAGCUUGGAGGCAUUUGUAUUCAGAUGUCAGAGGUGAAAUUCUUAGAU